rnacentral:misc_RNA from 1 species
AGACCCCUGGCUAUGGUCAACAGGUAUGCCAUUCUUUCACAAUGCUUUUUACCUUAAUGUUUGCACGCUUGAACUAGUUUAGUGUGCUAAAAGAGUCUCUUACUUGGAUAUGAAGCUCCUGCUUGCAUAUCUAGAACUAAGAAAUUCAGUAGUUCAGGAAGAAAUACUUGUCCUUAAUUACAAAACAAGCUGUUAUUUGUUAAGUAGAAUAGUGUUUUUCUAGCUUAUUGGAGAGCCAUAUAAAAAUUUGAGUGUAUCAGUUCUCUGUCAGAUUUGAUGUAUCCAUUAUCUUUUAAGAUUCCUUUGAUAGUAAUUCCACAAAUAUCAUGUUCUAGAUAUUGUAUGGUAUAAAUUGCUUGAUGUUAUGACUUUCGAGUUCAAACCUUAUAGUAGACCUUUAUCUCUCCCUGUGCAUUUUGUCAUUGGAAUAGCUAUGUUACUGUCAUAUUGUUGACAUUCAUUUAUUUGUUAAUUCUGCAUUGUUGAUGGCAUCGCCAAUUUACCUGAUGUACCUUUUGUACUGGAAAUAUUUUUAAUAAAGCAGUAAUUCUAAUGUCAUAGUUUGUCAGCUGUCAGCUUAACAUAAAUUGCCAUAUACUUAUCCAUUAUAUCGAUACUAAACUAUGAGAAUUAUAAGAUAAUGUGACUGGCAUGCUGAUUGUGUGCAACAUGUCUAGUUUGUGAUUAGUCUAAUUCAAGAGUCUCUCUGCAUGGCCAUAUUUGAUUAAUGCUCUCCCUUUUUAUCCGUCAAAAAGCAACAUAUAAGCUCAUUUUGUUGUUUUGGUAAAAUAUGAAGAAAGCUUUUUCUUGCAACGGUGGUAAUUUGAUUUUUGAGUUUUGCUACUUGCUCUCUUUCACAAUCCUAAUGAUGUAAAAUUAUGUUGCUUAUCGUGAUUUGUGUUGUGAGAGAGUUUUUCUUGUGAUAGGCUACAUAUGGAACAUAUGGUG